CCUACGGGUGGCAGCAGUCGAGAAUCAUUCACAAUGGGGGAAACCCUGAUGGUGCGACGCCGCGUGGGGGAAUGAAGGUCUUCGGAUUGUAAACCCCUGUCAUGUGGGAGCAAAUUAAAAAGAUAGUACCACACGAGGAAGAGACGGCUAACUCUGUGCCAGCAGCCGCGGUAAUACAGAGGUCUCAAGCGUUGUUCGGAAUCACUGGGCGUAAAGCGUGCGUAGGCUGUUUCGUAAGUCGUGUGUGAAAGGCGCGGGCUCAACCGGCGGACGGCACAUGAUACUGCGAGACUAGAGUAAUGGAGGGGGAACCGGAAUUCUCGGUGUAGCAGUGAAAUGCGUAGAUAUCGAGAGGAACACUCGUGGCGAAGGCGGGUUCCUGGACAUUAACUGACGCUGAGGCACGAAGGCCAGGGGAGCGAAAGGGAUUAGAUACCCUUGUAGUC
rnacentral:rRNA from 1 species